GAUGAACGCUGGCGGCGUGCCUAAUACAUGCAAGUCGAGCGAACAGACGAGGAGCUUGCUCCUCUGACGUUAGCGGCGGACGGGUGAGUAACACGUGGAUAACCUACCUAUAAGACUGGGAUAACUUCGGGAAACGGGAGCUAAUACCGGAUAAUAUAUUGAACCGCAUGGUUCAAUAGUGAAAGACGGUUUUGCUGUCACUUAUAGAUGGAUCGGGGCCGCAUUAGCUAGUUGGGAAGGUAACGGCUUACCAAGGCAACGAUCCGUAGCCGACCUGAGAGGGUGUUCGCCCACACUGGACCUGAACCACGGUCCAGACUCCUACGGGAGGCAGCAGUAGGGAUCCUUCCGCAAUGGGCGAAAGCCUGACGGGGCAACGCCGCGUGAAUAAGGAAGGUCUCCGGUUCGUAAAACUCGUUUAUUAGGGAAGAACAAAUUUGUAAGUAACUAUUCACGUCUUGACGGUACCUAAUCAGAAAGCCACGGCUAACUACGUG
rnacentral:rRNA from 1 species